GUUUGAUCCUGGCUCAGGACGAACGCUGGCGGCGUGCUUAACACAUGCAAGUCGAGCGGAAAGGCCCUUCGGGGUACUCGAGCGGCGAACGGGUGAGUAACACGUGAGUAAUCUGCCCUGCGCUCUGGGAUAGCCACCGGAAACGGUGAUUAAUACCGGAUAGGACCACUUCAUGCAUGUGAUGGUGGUGGAAAGUUUUUUCGGCGCAGGAUGUGCUCGCGGCCUAUCAGCUUGUUGGUGAGGUAAUGGCUCACCAAGGCUUUGACGGGUAACCGGCCUGAGAGGGUGACCGGUCACACUGGGACUGAGACACGGCCCAGACUCCUACGGGAGGCAGCAGUGGGGAAUAUUGGACAAUGGGCGGAAGCCUGAUCCAGCAACGCCGCGUGAGGGAUGACGGCCUUCGGGUUGUAAACCUCUUUCAGUACCGACGAAGCGAAAGUGACGGUAGGUACAGAAGAAGGACCGGCCAACUACGUGCCAGCAGCCGCGGUAAUACGUAGGGUCCGAGCGUUGUCCGGAAUUAUUGGGCGUAAAGGGCUCGUAGGCGGUUUGUCGCGUCGGGAGUGAAAACACCGGGCUUAACUCGGUGCUUGCUUUCGAUACGGGCAGACUAGAGGUAUGCAGGGGAGAAUGGAAUUCCUGGUGUAGCGGUGAAAUGCGCAGAUAUCAGGAGGAACACCGGUGGCGAAGGCGGUUCUCUGGGCAUUACCUGACGCUGAGGAGCGAAAGUGUGGGGAGCGAACAGGAUUAGAUACCCUGGUAGUCCACACCGUAAACGUUGGGCGCUAGGUGUGGGGCCUAUUCCAUGGGUUCCGUGCCGUAGCUAACGCAUUAAGCGCCCCGCCUGGGGAGUACGGCCGCAAGGCUAAAACUCAAAGGAAUUGACGGGGGCC
rnacentral:rRNA from 1 species